rnacentral:rRNA from 1 species
GAUGAACGCUGGCGGCGUGCCUAAUACAUGCAAGUAGAACGCUGAAGCUUGGUGCUUGCACCGAGCGGAUGAGUUGCGAACGGGUGAGUAACGCGUAGGUAACCUGCCUGGUAGCGGGGGAUAACUAUUGGAAACGAUAGCUAAUACCGCAUAACAGUCGACAUUGCAUGAUGUUGAUUUGAAAGGGGCAAUUGCUCCACUACCAGAUGGACCUGCGUUGUAUUAGCUAGUUGGUGAGGUAACGGCUCACCAAGGCGACGAUACAUAGCCGACCUGAGGGGGUGAUCGGCCACACUGGGACUGAGACACGGCCCAGACUCCUACGGGAGGCAGCAGUAGGGAAUCUUCGGCAAUGGACGGAAGUCUGACCGAGCAACGCCGCGUGAGUGAAGAAGGUUUUCGGAUCGUAAAGCUCUGUUGUAAGAGAAGAACGAGUGUGAGAGUGGAAAGUUCACACUGUGACGGAACUACCAGAAA